UACGUAGGCAGCAAGCGUUGUUCGGAGUUACUGGGCGUAAAGGGUGCGUAGGCGGCCUUAUAAAGUAUGGUGUGAAAUCUCCCGGCUUAACUGGGAGGGUGCGCUAUAGACUGUGGGGGCUAGAGUGUGGGAAGAGGAAAGUGGAAUUCCCGGUGUAGCAGUGAAAAUGCGUAGAGAUCGGGGAGGAACACCUGUGGCGAAAAGCGGCGCA
rnacentral:rRNA from 1 species